CACGUAGGGUGCGAGCGUUGUCCGGAAUUAUUGGGCGUAAAGAGCUCGUAGGCGGUUUGUCACGUCGGGAGUGAAAACUCAGGGCUUAACCCUGAGCCUGCUUCCGAUACGGGCAGACUAGAGGUAUGCAGGGGGAGAACGGAAUUCCUGGUGUAGCGGUGAAAUGCGCAGAUAUCAGGAGGAACACCGGUGGCGAAGGCGGUUCUCUGGGCAUUACCUGACGUGAGGAGCGAAAAGUGUGGG
rnacentral:rRNA from 1 species